rnacentral:rRNA from 1 species
GACGAACGCUGGCGGCGUGCUUAACACAUGCAAGUCGAACGGAAAGGCCCUGCUUGCAGGGUACUCGAGUGGCGAACGGGUGAGUAACACGUGGGUGAUCUGCCCUGCACUUCGGGAUAAGCUUGGGAAACUGGGUCUAAUACCGGAUAGGAACCAUCUUUAGUGUGGUGGUUGGAAAGUUUUUUCGGUGUAGGAUGAGCUCGCGGCCUAUCAGCUUGUUGGUGGGGUAAUGGCCUACCAAGGCGGCGACGGGUAGCCGGCCUGAGGGGGUGUACGGCCACAUUGGGACUGAGAUACGGCCCAGACUCCUACGGGAGGCAGCAGUGGGGAAUAUUGCACAAUGGGCGCAAGCCUGAUGCAGCGACGCCGCGUGGGGGAUGAAGGCCUUCGGGUUGUAAACUCCUUUCGCUAGGGACGAAGCUUUGUUGUGACGGUACCUAGAUAAGAAGCACCGGCUAACUACGUG